rnacentral:rRNA from 1 species
AACGAACGCUGGCGGCAUGCCUAACACAUGCAAGUCGAACGAGACCUUCGGGUCUAGUGGCGCACGGGUGCGUAACGCGUGGGAACCUGCCCUUAGGUUCGGAAUAACUCCUCGAAAGGGGUGCUAAUACCGGAUAAUGUCUUCGGACCAAAGAUUUAUCGCCUUUGGAUGGGCCCGCGUUGGAUUAGCUAGUUGGUAGGGUAAAAGCCUACCAAGGCGACGAUCCAUAGCUGGUCUGAGAGGAUGAUCAGCCACACUGGGACUGAGACACGGCCCAGACUCCUACGGGAGGCAGCAGUGGGGAAUAUUGGACAAUGGGCGAAAGCCUGAUCCAGCAAUGCCGCGUGAGUGAUGAAGGCCUUAGAGUUGUAAAGCUCUUUUACCCGGGAUGAUAAUGACAGUACCGGGAGAAUAAGCACCGGCUAACUCCGUG